GGAGUCUAGCAUGUGCGCGAGUCAUUGGGAUCUAUUGCUAAACCUAAAGGCGAAAUGAAAGUGAAGGCGCGCCUUGCGCGCGCCUAGGGAGGAUGGGCGGCGACCCGAGGCGACGACGGUCGACGACACGCCCCGCACUCCCGGGGCGUCUCGUUCUCAUCGCGAGAAGAGGCGCACCCAGAGCGUACACGCUGGGACCCGAAAGAUGGUGAACUAUGCCUGGUCAGGACGAAGUCAGGGGAAACCCUGAUGGAGGUCCGUAGCGAUUCUGACGUGCAAAUCGAUCGUCGGAACUGGGUAUAGGGGCGAAAGACUAAUCGAACCAUCUAGUAGCUGGUUCCCUCCGAAGUUUCCCUCAGGAUAGCUGGCGCUCGCUGUUAGCGAGUCUCAUCCGGUAAAGCGAAUGAUUAGAGGCAUUGGGGUCGAAACGGCCUCAACCUAUUCUCAAACUUUAAAUGGGUGAGAUCUCCGGCUUGCUUAAAUAGUGAAGCCGCGAGAUCGGAUCAGAGUGCCAAGUGGGCCACUUUUGGUAAGCAGAACUGGCGCUGUGGGAUGAACCAAACGCGGAGUUAAAGCGCCUAAAUCGACGCUUAUGGGAUACCAUGAAAGGCGUUGGUAACUUAAGACAGCAGGACGGUGGCCAUGGAA
rnacentral:rRNA from 1 species